UCGAGAAUCAUUCGCAAUGGGCGAAAAGCCUGACGAUGCGACGCCGUGUGUGUGAUGAAGGCCUUCGGGUCGUAAAGCACUUUCGCCUGGGAACAAGAGAGAUGGGCUAAUAACCCGUUAAUUUGAGGGUACCAGGUAAAGAAGCACCGGCUAACUACGUGCCAGCAGCUGCGGUAAUACGUAGGGUGCAAGCAUUAAUCGGAAUUAUUGGGCGUAUAGGGCGCGUAGGCGGAACUACAAGUCGAAUGUGAAAUCCCAGAGCUCAACUUUGGAACAGCAUUUGAAACUGUAUUUCUUGAGGGUAGGCGGAGAAAACGGAAUUCCACAAGUAGCGGUGAAAUGCGUAGAUAUGUGGAAGAACACCGGUGGCGAAGGCGGUUUUCUAGCUUACUCCUGACGCUGAGGCGCGAAAGCAAGGGGAUCAAACA
rnacentral:rRNA from 1 species